rnacentral:rRNA from 1 species
GGAUAAGGAAAGUAAAGAAGGGCGCAUGGCGGAUGCCUUGGCUCUCGGAGGCGAUGAAGGACGUGAUAAGCUGCGAUAAGCUUUGGGGAGGUGCAAAUGACCUUUGAUCCAGAGAUUUCCGAAUGGGACAACCCAAUAUCUUGAAGAGGUAUUAUCCAACGUUGUUGGAGGCUAACGCAGGGAACUGAAACAUCUUAGUACCUGCAGGAAAAGAAAAUAAACAAUGAUUCCCCCAGUAGUGGCGAGCGAACGGGGAACAGCCCAAACCAUCCAUGUUACGGCAUGGGUGGGGUUGUAGGACUACGUCGUUGCAUGAAGACAUCAGAGAAGAACUUUCUGGAAAGAAAGACCAUAGAGCAUGACAGUUGCGUAUUCGAAUGUUGUCGAAGCAUAGUAGUAUCCUGAGUAGCGCGGAGCACGAGGAAUUCUGCGUGAAUCUGCCGGGACCAUCCGGUAAGGCUAAAUACUCCCGAGAGACCGAUAGCGAACCAGUACCGUGAGGGAAAGGUGAAAAGCACUUCGAACAGAAGAGUGAAAUAGUUCCUGAAACCGUGCGCCUACAAGCGGUCGGAGCUCGUUAAUGAGUGACGGCGUGCCUUUUGCAUAAUGAACCUACGAGUUGCCUUUGCCGGCAAGGUUAAGUGUGACGACACACGUAUCCGAAGCGAAAGCGAGUCUGAACAGGGCGUAUAGUCGGCAGUGGCAGACGCGAAACCAAGUGAUCUACCCUUGGCCAGGUUGAAGGCUGGGUAACACCAGCUGGAGGACCGCACCAAUAAGCGUUGAAAAGCUUCUGGAUGAGCUGAGGGUAGGGGUGAAAGGCUAAUCAAACUUGGAGAUAGCUCGUACUCCCCGAAAUGCAUUUAGGUGCAGCCUUGCGGGUUACUGAUGUGAGGUAGAGCGACUGAUAAGAUGCGAGGGCUUCACCGCCUAUCAAGUCUUGACAAACUCCGAAUGCGCAUCAGUUCUACCGCAGGAGUGAGGGCAUGGGUGCUAAGGUCCGUGCCCGAGAGGAGAAGAAUCCGGACCACCUGCUAAGGUCCCGAAAUGACAGCUAAGUUAAACUAACGAAGUCUGACUGCUAAGACAGCUAGGAUGUUGGCUUGGAAGCAGCCAUUCAUUUAAAGAGUGCGUAACAGCUCACUAGUCGAGGAGUCGGGCGUGGAUAAUAAUCGGGUAUUAAGUUGUCUACCGAAGCAGUGGGAUCAUUAAUAUGAUCGGUAGGGGAGCAUUCCAGUCGGCGUCGAAGGCGUACCGUGAGGUAUUCUGGAGCGUCUGGAAAAGCAAAUGUAGGUAUAAGUAACGAUAAAGGGGGCGGGAAACCCCCUCGCCGAAAGACUAAGGUUUCCUGAUCAACGCUAAUCGGAUCAGGGUCAGUCGGGUCCUAAGGCUCAGCCGAACGGCGAUGCCGAUGGCAGAAACGGUUAAUAUUCCGUUACUACCUUCAGGAGUGACGUGGAGACGCAGUAGUGACAGUGCCGCCAUCUGACGGAAUAGAUGGUUGAAGGGUGUAGGAGUCGAUCAUGGCAGGCAAAUCCACCAUGAGAUCCGAACCUGACAGUAUGCCGCGUCCUUCGGGACAAGGCAAUAGUGCGCGUAAGCAUGCUGCCGAGAAAAUCCGCUAAACUUAAUCCUGCAGGUACCCGUACCGCAAACGGACACACGUAGUCGGGAUGAAUAUUCUAAGGCGCUUGAGUGAUUCACGGUUAAGGAACUAGGCAAACUGACCCUGUAACUUCGGGAUAAAGGGUCCCUACCCUUUUAUGGGAGGGCGCAGAGAAUCGGUCCAGGCAACUGUUUAACAAAAACACAGGGCUGUGCCAAAUCGAAAGAUCCAGUAUACAGCCUGACACCUGCCCGGUGCUGGAAGGUUAAGAGGAGAUGUCAUCGAUAAGAGAAGCGUUGAAUUGAAGCCCCAGUAAACGGCGGCCGUAACUAUAACGGUCCUAAGGUAGCGAAAUUCCUUGUCGGGUAAGUUCCGACCUGCACGAAUGGUGUAAUGAUCUGGACGCUGUCUCAACCGUGAGCUCAGUGAAAUUGUAGUAUCGGUGAAGAUGCCGAUUACCCGCGAUGGGACGAAAAGACCCCGUGAACCUUUACUAUAGCUUAUCAUUGAAUCUGGGCACGUGAUGUGUAGGAUAGGUCGGAGGCUUUGAAGCAGGUACGCCAGUAUUUGUGGAGCCGCUGUUGAAAUACGACCCUUUAUUUGUUUGGAUUCUAACCCGUGGA